UAGGGAAUCUUCGGCAAUGGACGAAAGUCUGACCGAGCAACGCCGCGUGAGUGAAGAAGGUUUUCGGAUCGUAAAACUCUGUUGUUAGAGAAGAACAAGGACGUUAGUAACUGAACGUCCCCUGACGGUAUCUAACCAGAAAGCCACGGCUAACUACGUGCCAGCAGCCGCGGUAAUACGUAGGUGGCAAGCGUUGUCCGGAUUUAUUGGGCGUAAAGCGAGCGCAGGCGGUUUCUUAAGUCUGAUGUGAAAGCCCCCGGCUCAACCGGGGAGGGUCAUUGGAGACUGGGAGACUUGAGUGCAGAAGAGGAGGGUGGAAUUCCAUGUGUAGCGGUGAAAUGCGUAGAUAUAUGGAGGAACACCAGUGGCGAAGGCGGCUCUCUGGUCUGUAACUGACGCUGAGGCUAGAAAGCGUGGGGAGCAAACAGG
rnacentral:rRNA from 1 species